AUGAUCUUACCAGUUCCAACAAAGCUAUAAAUAUAAGUGGUUUGACGCAACUCAGAGCCAUUAGUAUAAAAUCUUAGUUGUUCUUAACUUUAGUGCAAGGAGAGAAUUAAUACAGAGAAAAAUGGCAUCACUCAAAGCUGAGAAACCUGUUGGAACUCAACCAUCUGCGCCAACAAAGAAAGCAUCUGCUAAGGCUCCUCAUGCAUCCAAAUCGGCUCAGAAAAAGCCUCGUGAGCCUAAGAAGAAGGUCAAUUAACAUCGCCCUCCUGUCCAUAUUAUCUGAAUUUUAUCUGUCUAAAUUACGCGUUAUCUCUUCUUAAACGUCUCAAUUGAUACUCUACUAAUAUUGGAACACUAAGAAAGAUCUGGAAACAAGAAAAUAAUAGAUGACCUAUGUUUUUCUAAAACGUUAACUAUUCCGAAACAAAUCCAGUAUUCAAGAUGACUAGUAAUAUUUGUUAACAAAGGUAGUAUCUAAUUUUUUUUCUAUAUAUUUUUUAUUUGUGCAUGUCCUUGGAUAGUAUCUUCUCUAUAGCGCUCCAAUUCUAUCAGAUGUCGACAAUAUAUAUUUUUGUUUAUUGUUUCCUGCAUAUAAUCUGAUUUAAAUAUGAUUAAUCUUCUUUUUAGGCAUCAGGUAGCAAGCCAGCUCCAAGAAAAUAAGAAGGACGAGUAAUUACAAGAGUAUGAUGAAGAAUAUGGCAUGCAGAACUACUAAUCAUGAAAUGCAUGCCUGCUGUUUAAACUUAUGAGUGAUAUAGUUGUUAAGGCACUGGCUUGUAUAUUUUCUUCUCUUUGGUUUCCUAUUAAUGGAAUAAUCUCAUACUCGUAUUUGUAUUCUUUCCUUUGCCUACUCAUAAAUACUCUCUCCAUUUCAAUUUAUGUGACAUACUUUUCUUAUUAGUCUGUUUCAAACAGAACUCGAAACAAUUAAUCAAAUCAUCAAGUCUAACUGAUCAAAACAUCAUAAAUAAUAACUAAUACCAGCUAG
rnacentral:lncRNA from 1 species